UCCAUGUUGAUCGUGUACAAAGCUAAACUUAAGUUAUCUACAAAAUAAAUGCAACAUUGUGCUCACCCGUGUGUUGUUAGCCAAGCUAGCUAGUUUGUGUUUACGUUUCAGUUGGAUUCUAUAAUGUGCUUUUGGAGUGUUAAAUACUGUUUGCAUUGUCUGCUGGUAAAAAUUUAUGUAAUAAUGUGGAUUAUUGUCACUCAGCAGAUUCCAAGCAGAUCCAGUUAAAGCUAAGCUAGAUGCUUCAGUCUUGACCAGCUCUGUCAGGCUGGAUGGGAAGAAGAGAGUGAUUUGAGAGAUUUUGUGCAACAGACUAAGGCUUCUCCUGACAAGGACUAUAACAGCAUACAGCCUAGAAAGUGAAGAUAUGGCACAGCAUCCACUGCCCUUCCACCUCCAUCCAUCCACUGUGGGAAUCAUCUUGGAGCAGAAUUCUGUGAUGGAC